UACGGGGGGGGCAAGCGUUGUUCGGAAUUACUGGGCGUAAAGGGCUCGUAGGCGGCCAACUAAGUCAGACGUGAAAUCCCUCAGCUUAACUGGGGAACUGCGUCCGAUACUGGUUGGCUUGAGUUUGGGAGAGGGAUGCGGAAUUCCAGGUGUAGCGGUGAAAUGCGUAGAUAUCUGGAGGAACACCGGUGGCGAAGGCGGCAUCCUGGACCAAUACUGACGCUGAGGAGCGAAAGCCAGGGGAGCAAACGGG
rnacentral:rRNA from 1 species